GAAGUUUGUUUCUCAGUUACAUGGUUCCGGGUUCUACCUCACUACUCUGUACCUUGAGCGAGUGUCUUCUACUAUAGCUGGGCUGAUCAAAGCCUUGUGAAUGGAUUCACUAUGAUGAGUUGGAAAUUAGGACAUUGCAACACCAACGACAAUAUGAACAUACAAAACCAAGAAAACCACAAUACUUACAGCAGCAACAAAAAUAACAACAACAACGAUGACAACAAUAACUACAAUAACAUCGUGCACCUGCAGCAACAACAACAAUCACAAAUGAAAUACAUAUAACAACACACACAUAUAUAAGGGCAUAACUAUACAAGAAUGCCUCACACAUAAUAGACACGCUAGACAUAACAGUAUCCCUGUCACUACUGACGUUCAUAUCAACUGCAACCCAGAUCCCACCGCCAACAUGAGAUCAUGUAAAGGUUUCGUGUCUGCUAAUCUCCAUAGCAAUGGAAAUCAACAGACAUAGAAGUUUUCAAUUGGCAAAAAUCACAUAACUUUAAAUGUAAUUUCUUUAUUUGUUUCUAGAAAGUAAAAAAAAUAAUAAUUGCGAUUUUCAUCAUCAGAAUUACAUUUUUUAAAAAUAAUUUGCUGAAAUUUGAAAAAUUUCAAGUGGUUAGAAGACAUUUAACAAGAUCUGAUGGUAAAUUGUUCAUGUAACCUACUAAACGUAAACAAAUUAUGAGUUUUCCCUGUGAAGAGUCUAGGGGAGAUAAUUUAAUGUAGCGACCUGAAAAAAAUGAGUGGAAAACAGAAGAAUCGCCGACGAAGUUGUACAUUUAUUUUCAGAGUUAAACAACUUGCUUUUAAAAAUAUAUAAAUAACGCCUUUGGCUUCGAGAACAAGAAAAUUCAUGAACUGAAUUGGAUUUAAACUAUGCGCUUUGAUCUCCUUGAUAAAUCUAGUUAUAAACAAUGAAGACAUGAAAGUGAAAUGAAAUAAUUGAAUUUAAAAACGAAAAAAAAAAAAAAAUGCAAAUUCAAGUUGUUUCAGUCAUUUGACUGCGGCCAUGCUGGAGCACCAUCUUUAGUCAAACAAAUCAACCCCCCAGGACUUAUUCUUUUUUAUAUCUACUGAAUCCACUCAAUAAGGUUUGGUUGACCCCAGGCUAUAGUAGAAGACACUUACCCAAGAAGCCAUGCUGUGAGACUGAAUCUGGAACCAUGUGGCUGGAAAACAUGAAUUAGCAUCUCACUCUCAAAUAAAGAAUGGCACAGUCAAAGAUUUGUUGUUUUGGAAAUUCCUAAAAUGACGCAUGGGUUCAACCACCUGUAAUGGUGUUUGAACCUGAAAUGCAUCAUACAGCCAUCCCAAUACACAUAACUGCGCAUAAAUGCUUUCAUGCUUAUAAUUCCUGGAUGUCCAAUAUGAAAUUCUUUCAACAUUCUUUUUGUAAAGUCUCAGACAAUGCUAUUAUUCAGAAUUUUCUACCCACAGCUCUUAUGACAAUGUUGACAACUGAACAAUACUGAGUGAUUUUUGUGUACGAAAACAAGUUGGGUCACUCUGCCACCGAAGCUCUACAAAACAUUAAGUGGGUUUUCGGUAACGAUUCUGUUGACAUUAGAACUGUUCAGAGAUGGUUCCAAAGGUUUUGUUCAGGAAAUGAAAGCCUUAAAAAUGAACCAAGAUGGAAACCAAAAUCAGUUAUUCGGCAUGAUGAAUUGAAUGCUUUGGUUAGAUGGAAUCUGAAAACAAUGGUCCGAAAAAUCGGAUCAGAGCUCCAGACAUCUCCCACAACUGCUUCUUGACACUUGAAGGAAAUUAGAAAAGUCAAAAAGAUGGAUAGGUUUGUUCCCCAUCAAAUUAAUGAGAUUCAAAGAAACAGACGCCUUACACUGUGUUCCAUGUUGAUUUCUUGGUUGGAAAGAGAACUAUUUUUGCAUCGACUGAUUACUUGUGAUGAGAAAUGGAUACUUUAUGAUAACAGUAGGAGGACAGGACAGUGGUUAGAUGCAGGAGGGUCACCAAAACACUACCCAAAACCACCAUUGCACCCUAAAAAGUUGAUGGCCACUGUAUGGUGGUCAACAAAGGGGGUUAUUCAUUAUUCAUUUUUGCAACAAGGAUAAACUGUAAUAGCAACAUCCUAUUGUCAGGAAAUUGAUUGUAUGCAUGAAAGAUUAAAAAAGAAGUAACUCAGAUUAGUGAAUAGAGAUGGCCCAAUUUUACUUCAUGAUAAUGCACAGCCUCACACUUCUCAAGCUACGGUCCACGAGUUGCAAAGCCUGAAUUAUGAAAUUCUGGCACAUCCUCCUUAUUCUCCUGAUAUCUUUCCUACUGAUUAUCACAUAUUUAAACACUUCAAGCUUGCUAUAUGCGAUAAAAAAUUCUUAAAUAAAGAAGAGGUAAUUGAAGCAUUCAAAUGGUUUAUCAGUGUAGAAGAUGAC